CACGUAGGGCGCAAGCGUUGUCCGGAAUUAUUGGGCGUAAAGAGCUCGUAGGCGGUCUGUUGCGUCCGCUGUGAAAACCCGGGGCUUAACCCCUGGCUUGCAGUGGAUACGGACAGACUAGAGGUAGGUGGGGGAGAAUGGAAUUCCCGGUGUAGCGGUGAAAUGCGCAGAUAUCGGGAGGAACACCGGUGGCGAAGGCGGUUCUCUGGGCCUUACCUGACGCUGAGGAGCGAAAGCGUGGGGAGCGAACAGG
rnacentral:rRNA from 1 species